CAGCAGCCGCGGUAAUACGGAGGGUGCAAGCGUUAUCCGGAUUCACUGGGUUUAAAGGGUGCGUAGGUGGGCAGAUAAGUCAGUGGUGAAAUCUCUGGGCUUAACCCGGAAACUGCCAUUGAUACUAUUUGUCUUGAAUUCUCUGGAGGUAAGCGGAAUAUGUCAUGUAGCGGUGAAAUGCUUAGAUAUGACAUAGAACACCCAUUGCGAAGGCAGCUUACUACGGAGAUAUUGACACUGAGGCACGAAAGCGUGGGGAUCAAACAGGAUUAGAUACCCUGGUAGUCCACGCCCUAAACGAUGAUUACUCGACAUUAGCGAUACUACUGUUAGUGUCUAAGCGAAAGCAUUAAGUAAUCCACCUGGGAAGUACGACCGCAAGGUUGAAACUCAAAGGAAUUGACGG
rnacentral:rRNA from 1 species